GCUCGCGCCGCCCCUCUCUCGCGUUCCCUUUCAGGUACGUACCGAGUACGGCGGUGUUGUUCCCCGGCCGUUCACAACAGCCGGUCUGGGUCGUCCGCCAAUUUCAGUCUGACGCGGAGACUGGCCGCCAGCGGGCGAUACAGAAACGUGUCGGCUUCCACACCACGGAGUAAUGGAGGAUGCUUCGUUGUUGAUGUUGCCCCGCUCUUGGACAUACAGCAGGAUAACCUCAAAACUGAGCAGAAAAGGACCAAAUGAAUGCGUGGAGGUCAUGUUAAAGAAUGGACUGGAUCUGGUUGAAGACCGGAGAAAGACCUGACAGUUAGAACAGUUAAUCAGUGGAAUAACUUGCCUCCAGAAGUUGUGAAUGCUCCAACACUGGAAGUUUUAAAGAAGAUGUUGGAUAACCAUUUGUCUGAAGUGGUGUAGGGUUUCCUGCCUAAGCAGGGGGUUGGACUAGAAGACCUCCAAGGUCCCUUCCAACUCUGUUAUUCUAUUCUAUUCUAAAAGAUAAAUCCAGGGGGAAAAGAAUCCCUAAUGUAUUUCUGUGGAAGAGACAUUUGGCCGGCAAAUAGUAAUGUUAUCAGCCCUUUCAUUCUAAGAAGCCAUGCUGUGGAUAUUUUCUGUAACUUACUAUCUUCAUCCAUUCUGUGAAUGUUUCCAUUUAGGAUAUACACACAGAGACACAAAAUUUAGUGGUUUGUCUCCAAAACAAUCUAUUGGAAUGUUUUCUUUUGCACCUGGAAAGGCCAGUCUGACAUUUUAGAUUAGUUACAUUUCAAGAACAGGAGAUGGUUCCAAUGGAGGAAUGGGCCAUGUAUGAACCAUUCUAUUUCCAGUGCCAACUAUACACUUCUGGAAAGGCAAAGCCACCUCAGAACUUCAAAUCUGCCCAUAGGGAAAUGGGGUGGAAUGAGGCAGAAAUCAUUGUUUUUCACACAAAAAUUCCUUGACGCCCCUCAAGCUCCCUCCUGCUCCAAAUUUUUAAAGAGUUUUUUUAAUUUAGAAAAAUGACUGAAAAGCUGACAUGGCACCAGCCUAAAGUAUACCUUGUAUCUUCUGCACUGUUUUUGGACCUACAUAGAUUCUAGGAUUUUAUUUUUACAAUUUUUUUUAAAUCGUAAUUUGGAUGGCUGUAAAUGCUUUGAUUCCCUUCUAACAGUGCUUCUCAGCCUUGGAAACUUUAAGGUGUAUGGAUUUCAAUUCCCAGAAUUCCCUAGCAAACAUCCAUGAUCCCACAUCCCAACAUCCAUUUUGGGAGUUGAAGUCCACACAUCUUAAAAUUGCCAAGAUUGAGAAACACUGUUCUAAAAUAUGAAUGCUUUUUGUAAUUGGUGGUGUCCAUGAUCAUAACUUUGUGAGUGUCUCCAUCCUAUGGUCUUAAAAGUCCAGUGUAUCCACUGGGCCAAAAAUUAAGGAUAUCUGUAGUCAACAACUUCCAAAUAAAUUAUUAGAGUUAACAUUGGGGGUUUUUUAAAGGUACCCAGCCUAUGCUGGGUACUGGGUCCCUCCUGGUGACCCGCCGGGGUGGCAGGAGAAACCCACGCAGACCCAAGUUAUGCCUUGACCUGCGCCAUUUCGGACAGGGACCCUUUCAGAUCCCUGCCCUGGACAAAUCCGGGGCCAGUACUGAGUGUCUUGAGGGGUCCAAUCCCCAAGAGAGGCCACAGCUGGAAGGUGGCACCACACUCAUCACCAACCCCCUUGAAGUACCUUUGAACAGUGUGGUUUCAGCAUUGACAUCCCCACCUACCCAGGAUCUGACCUGCCGAUUUCUCGGCAGCCAUCUUGUUGUACCUUUCAGUACGGCCUUUCAGUAAGGUCUCUGGCAGGCGGUAAUACUGGCCGGAGGCCCUUCGAGGGCAAGUUGUUAAUCCCCGGUAUAGAUGGGCUGGAAUGCUUCUCUAUUCGCGGUGACCUGUUUCUUAUCAGAACCCCAGAGUUAACAUUGUUGAUCAUUGAUAAUAAAAGAUCAUGUCAAAUAAGGAAUCCAAAAUAUUAGACACAAAGGGGAGAAUGUGGCUGUUUCAAAGACCAGUGUUUUAUCUAACUUCAUUUUUAUUUAUUUUUUCUUGUGUGGUAUUCUGCUUUUCUUUUUAAGCCAUUUGACUGUUUUAAUUAUCACUCAUAAUCUGCCAAAUGAACUUCAAUGUGGGCUUACUGAAUAAAUAAUACAUAUGUUAUGAAUAGUCCCUACUUUCGAGGCAAAACUUAAUGCACAUUUCAUUUCUUGUAUUAGCCCAGUUGAUUUUUAAAAUUCUAAAGAGAUUAUGUGAGAGGUUCACUUCCAAUGCAUAAGAACAAAAUCAUCUUUAAGCCUUAAUGGAAAAUAUUCUUUUUUUCUUUUGUAGAAAAAGCAGAUUCAGAAUUCAGUCCUGUAUUUAAAAGUAACUGCCAUUGAAAUCCAGAAUAAAAAUUACUCUUAAGAAGACUUGUAUAGAAUAAAUUUAAACUCAUUUAAAAAAUGAAUACAAAUAUAUGCCCAUUUAUUGGAAUUAAAUAUAGUAAGAAUUGCACUUAGAUAAGCACACUUAGGAUAAUGUUAUAAAACAAUUUUUACUGAGCGUCUCAUACCUUUGUCUUUCAUGUUUCAAAAAUAAUUAAUUCCAUUAAAUUAUUUCCUGUUA